AUGGAAAAGAAGUGGCCUACUAGAAGAAUUAAUUUAAAGCAUUUACACCAAAAUAAAAACAAAUUGAAUAUUGGAAUUGGUCCUUCAUGAUAGCUUCCCCUUAACAACUAACUCUAACUAUAAAUACUGAAUCUUGCAUGCAACAUUUCAUAGUAAACACUAAGACCAAAACCUCUUCUUUCUAUCCAUGACUGCUAGGGCUAGUUGCCCCAAAAUGGGGCAUUUUUGGCCACAAAUGGCAAUGGCAUUGGCCAUUGUUUUGAUUUCUACUACUAUGGUUUCUGCUUCUGAUAGCUACAUUUACUCUUCGCCUCCACCACCUUAUGAGUACAAGUCCCCACCACCGCCGUCUCCCUCACCACCUCCUCCUUAUGUGUAUAAGUCACCACCUCCCCCAUCCUCGUCACCCCCACCACCAUAUGAGCACAAGGCUCCAUCUUAUGAGUACAAGUCACCACCACCACCAACUUCUUCACCACCACCUCCUUAUGUAUACAAGUCACCACCACCACCAUCUCCUUCACCGUCACCUCCUUAUGUGUACAAGUCACCACCACCUCCAUCCCCAUCACCCCCACCUCCUUACGUGUACAAGUCACCACCACCACCCUCGCCUUCCCCGCCCCCACCAUACUAUUACAAGUCUCCUCCACCACCCUCGCCUUCCCCACCGCCACCAUACUAUUACAAGAGUCCUCCACCACCCUCUCCUUCACCUCCACCUCCUUACUACUAUAAAUCGCCUCCACCACCCUCACCUUCCCCUCCCCCACCAUACUAUUACAAGUCUCCUCCACCACCAUCUCCCUCACCACCUCCUCCAUAUUACUACAAGUCUCCCACACCACCUUCACCCUCCUCUCCACCCCCAUAUAUACACAAGGAUCCACCAUACUAUUACAAGUCCCCACCACCCCCUUCACCAUCUCCUCCACCACCAUACUACUAUAAAUCUCCCCCACCACCCUCACCCUCUCCACCCCCACCUUACUAUUACAAGUCUCCUCCACCACCUUCACCAUCUCCUCCACCACCAUACUAUUACAAAUCUCCUCCUCCU
rnacentral:lncRNA from 1 species